rnacentral:misc_RNA from 1 species
UGCAGGAGCCGGCUUGCUGGCGAUGGUAUCGACGCGGUCGUUCACAUACACCGCGGUGAUGCCAUCGCCAGCAAGCCGGCUCCUACA